rnacentral:tRNA from 1 species
UGCUCCGUGGCUUAGUCGACUAAGGCGUCGCGCUACGGAGGAGCGGUUCCCGGGUUCAAAUCCCGGUUGGGGCAA